rnacentral:rRNA from 1 species
GACGAACGCUGGCGGCGUGCCUAACACAUGCAAGGUCGAACGGGGGCUAAGUUUUCGGAUUUAGCUUAGUGGCGAACGGGUGAGUAACGCGUGAAGAACCUGCCUUUCAGUGGGGGACAACAGUUGGAAACGACUGCUAAUACCGCAUAAUGUUAUUUGGGGGCAUCCCUGAAUAACCAAAGAUUUAUUGCUGAAAGAUGGCUUCGCGUCUGAUUAGCUAGAUGGCGGGGUAACGGCCCACCAAGUCGACGAUCAGUAGCCGGACUGAGAGGUUCAACGGCCACAUUGGGACUGAGAUACGGCCCAGACUCCUACGGGAGGCAGCAGUCGGGAAUAUUGCGCAAUGGAGGAAACUCUGACGCAGUGACGCCGCGUAUAGGAAGAAGGUUUUCGGAUUGUAAACUAUUGUCGAUAGGGAAGAAAAAGACUGUACCUAUCAAGAAAGCUCCGGCUAACUACGUG